CUCUUCUGUAACCUUGGGGAAAACAUCAAAAUCGAUACUUACAAAAAGCAUGGUGAAUGGAUGCAGAAGGAAGAUCUGAAUAUUCUCCUACUAUAAAAGCAUUUGAAUGUCCACAAAAAGAAUACUAAAGAAGACUCAAUAGGAUUGGGCACCUGCUCACAGAAAACCCAAUGAUUACAGCUAUUUCACAGCAACUACCCAAAAACAUCUACAGACGGCAUUACUCUUACAGUCAAUCCAAGACCAGAAAACUCUCCGUCCCCUCAUCAGUAGGAAGUAGCCAGAAGGAACACGCUGCCCCUUGUCCUUUUUAAGGGUCUGGAUUGACAGAGCAGGAGCAUCGCCAUCCUGGACAAGCACCGCCAUUCUAAAGAUCCCCUUGAUCAAAAACCACCUAAAUCCAAAGGGCAUCAGCCUAAUAGCUGAAGUCAGUAAGACCAUAAACCACAAAUGACAUCUCCAACUAGAAACGUUCCAACCCUAAGAUAAAUCCCUCCCCGACCAGAGACAAGCCAGCCCCGAGAUAACCUCCCCUCCAGCCAGAGAGAUGUGAGCCCCAAGAUAACCUCCCCUCUGAUCGGAGACAUUCCAACCUUGCAAUAAACUUCUCCUCCACACAGAAACAUUCCAAGCCUGUGAUAAGCUCUCUCACCCUAAAACCAAUAAAUACUCUUUAGUCUGUAAGAGAGAGUGCUCCUGACUGAAAUCGGCCAGAAGCCCCUCUCAGGUUUAUUCUCCAAAAUAAACCUGUCUUUCGUGUUUCUUUCCUCUUUAUUUAACUCUUACAUUAGGAAGUUUUCUUUUGGAGCAUUUUAAUUUCUUCUGCCUUCUUUAAACUCCAAAAUAUUUCCUUUAACUUCUCCCACAUUCCCUACCUCUCCUCAUUUUUUCCCCAUCCCUUCUCUCUUCCAGGGCUAUAUAGUUCUACUGAUUUUCUUAGCUGGUCUAACCCAUAAAUGUCCCACCCUACAGACUUUCUGCCCUCACUUUUCAGGAGUCAGACCAGAGGUGUAUCUAAAACAGACAGAGGGCAGGAGGUCUCUGACUCAAUGCCAGCAUGAGGGAAGAUGUAUGUCAGAGGAUAAAAGGGGAAGAAAGAAAUACAUACAACCAGAGACAAGGUUAUUGAUGCUUACUUUUUAUUCUAUUUAAGGUCUUGUAUAUUAAACGAUGCUACUUUUAUUCUAUUUAAGGUCCUGUAUAUUAAAAGAUGAAGAUGUGCAUCAAAUUUGGCUCACACAAUAUGCACCCACUUAAACAUAUUUAAAAGCUUAUCCAAUAAAAAGGAGCAGAAAGUUAAAU
rnacentral:lncRNA from 1 species